AUUGAACGCUGGCGGCAGGCCUAACACAUGCAAGUCGAGCGGAUGAAGGGAGCUUGCUCCUGGAUUCAGCGGCGGACGGGUGAGUAAUGCCUAGGAAUCUGCCUGGCAGUGGGGGAUAACGUCCGGAAACGGGCGCUAAUACCGCAUACGUCCUGAGGGAGAAAGUGGGGGAUCUUCGGACCUCACGCUAUCAGAUGAGCCUAGGUCGGAUUAGCUAGUUGGUGGGGUAAAGGCCUACCAAGGCGACGAUCCGUAACUGGUCUGAGAGGAUGAUCAGUCACACUGGAACUGAGACACGGUCCAGACUCCUACGGGAGGCAGCAGUGGGGAAUAUUGGACAAUGGGCGAAAGCCUGAUCCAGCCAUGCCGCGUGUGUGAAGAAGGUCUUCGGAUUGUAAAGCACUUUAAGUUGGGAGGAAGGGCAGUAAGUUAAUACCUUGCCGUUUUGACGUUACCAACAGAAUAAGCACCGGCUAACUUCGUG
rnacentral:rRNA from 1 species